GAGCAGCCCAGAGUCUGAAUCAGCUUGUGUGUUAGUGGAACGGUCUGGAAAGUCCGACGGUACAGGGUGAUAGUCCCGUACACCAAAAUGCACAGGUUGUGAACUCGAAGAGUAGGGCGGGACACGUGGUAUCCUGUCUGAAUAUGGGGGGACCAUCCUCCAAGGCUAAAUACUCCUGACUGACCGAUAGUGAACCAGUACCGUGAGGGAAAGGCGAAAAGAACCCCGGCGAGGGGAGUGAAAAAGAACCUGAAACCGUGUACGUACAAGCAGUGGGAGCACCUUCGGGUGUGACUGCGUACCUUUUGUAUAAUGGGUCAGCGACUUAUAUUCUGUAGCAAGGUUAACCGUAUAGGGGAGCCGCAGGGAAACCGAGUCUUAACUGGGCGUUAAGUUGCAGGGUAUAGACCCGAAACCCGGUGAUCUAGCCAUGGGCAGGUUGAAGGUUGGGUAACACUAACUGGAGGACCGAACCGACUAAUGUUGAAAAAUUAGCGGAUGACUUG
rnacentral:rRNA from 1 species